rnacentral:rRNA from 1 species
GACGAACGCUGGCGGCGUGCCUAAUACAUGCAAGUAGAACGCACAGUUUAUACCGUAGCUUGCUACACCAUAGACUGUGAGUUGCGAACGGGUGAGUAACGCGUAGGUAACCUGCCUGGUAGCGGGGGAUAACUAUUGGAAACGAUAGCUAAUACCGCAUAAUAUUAAUUAUUGCAUGAUAAUUAAUUGAAAGGUGCAAUUGCACCACUACCAGAUGGACCUGCGUUGUAUUAGCUAGUAGGUGAGGUAACGGCUCACCUAGGCGACGAUACAUAGCCGACCUGAGAGGGUGAUCGGCCACACUGGGACUGAGACACGGCCCAGACUCCUACGGGAGGCAGCAGUAGGGAAUCUUCGGCAAUGGACGAAAGUCUGACCGAGCAACGCCGCGUGAGUGAAGAAGGUUUUCGGAUCGUAAAGCUCUGUUGUAAGAGAAGAACGGGUGUGAGAGUGGAAAGUUCACACUGUGACGGUAUCUUACCAGAAAGGGACGGCGAACUACGU